GACGAACGCUGGCGGCGUGCUUAACACAUGCAAGUCGAACGGAAAGGCCCUGCUUGCAGGGUACUCGAGUGGCGAACGGGUGAGUAACACGUGGGUGAUCUGCCCUGCACUUCGGGAUAAGCCUGGGAAACUGGGUCUAAUACCGGAUAGGAGCCAUUUUUAGUGUGAGGGUUGGAAAGUUUUUUCGGUGUAGGAUGAGCUCGCGGCCUAUCAGCUUGUUGGUGGGGUAAUGGCCUACCAAGGCGGCGACGGGUAGCCGGCCUGAGAGGGUGGACGGCCACAUUGGGACUGGGGUACGGCCCAGACUCCUACGGGAGGCAGCAGGGGGGAAUAUUGCACAAUGGGCGCAAGCCUGAUGCAGCGACGCCGCGUGGGGGAUGACGGCCUUCGGGUUGUAAACUCCUUUCGCUAGGGACGAAGCUUUUUGUGACGGUACCUAGAGAAGAAGCACCGGCUAACUACGUG
rnacentral:rRNA from 1 species